CGUACACUCCUACGGGAGGCAGCAGUGGGGAAUAUUGCACAAUGGGCGCAAGCCUGAUGCAGCCAUGCCGCGUGUAUGAAGAAGGCCUUCGGGUUGUAAAGUACUUUCAGCGGGGAGGAAGGCAAUACGGUUAAUAACCGUGUUGAUUGACGUUACCCGCAGAAGAAGCACCGGCUAACUCCGUGCCAGCAGCCGCGGUAAUACGGAGGGUGCAAGCGUUAAUCGGAAUUACUGGGCGUAAAGCGCACGCAGGCGGUCUGUCAAGUCGGAUGUGAAAUCCCCGGGCUCAACCUGGGAACUGCAUUCGAAACUGGCAGGCUUGAGUCUUGUAGAGGGGGGUAGAAUUCCAGGUGUAGCGGUGAAAUGCGUAGAGAUCUGGAGGAAUACCGGUGGCGAAGGCGGCCCCCUGGACAAAGACUGACGCUCAGGUGCGAAAGCGUGGGGAGCAAACAGGAUUAGAUACCCCAGUAGUCCCAUGAU
rnacentral:rRNA from 1 species